UACAGAGGGUGCGAGCGUUAAUCGGAGUUACUGGGCGUAAAGCGUGCGUAGGCGGUGUCUUAAGUUUGUUGUGAAAUCUCCCGGCUUAACCGGGAGGGUGCGGCGAAUACUGAGAUGCUGGAGUGCCGGAGAGGUAAGCGGAAUUCCUGGUGUAGCGGUGAAAUGCGUAGAUAUCAGGAGGAACACCUGCGGUGUAGACGGCUUACUGGACGGUAACUGACGCUGAGGCACGAAAGCGUGGGUAGCAAACAGG
rnacentral:rRNA from 1 species